rnacentral:lncRNA from 1 species
UGGUGCAUUGAAAACUUGCUCCAGUAGUGCAUUGCCAGUGCACUAUGCUGCUGUUUCAUCAAGGAGAAAGGAGGUGACCAGCCCGAGAGGAACUUCAUGCUCUACAGUAUGCCUACGGAGAACACCUCAAGGCGCAUCCAAGCAACGUCCUUGAGGCACAGCGCCACCGGAAUCUCAAUCGCCAUUUGGGGGACCUGCUUAAAGUCCUUAAGAAAUGAUUCCACUGUGAGGCUUUCAAAACGGCAUGAAUAUUAAUUUUAUUCAUUAUAAAGUUUUCAUUUUUAAA